AUUGAACGCUGGCGGCAGGCCUAACACACGCACGUCGAACGAGUGGCGGACGGGUGAGUACUGUCUGGGAAACUGCCUGCAAGAGGGGGAUAACUACUGGAAACGGUAGCUAAUACCGCAUACCAUCAGAUGUGCCCAGGUGGGAUUAGCUAGUGGGUGGGGUAACGGCUCACCAAGGCGACGAUCCCUAGCUGGUCUGAGAGGAUGACCAGCCACACUGGAACUGAGACAAGGUCCAGACACCUACGGGAGGCAGCAGGGGGGAAGAUUGAACAAUGGGCUGAAGCCUGAGGCAGCCAUGCCGCGUGGAUGAAGAAGGCCUUCGGGUUGUAAAGUACUUUCAGCGGGGAGGCGUUACCCGCAGAAGAGGCACAGGCUAACUCCGUGCCAGCCGCCGCGGUAAUAC
rnacentral:rRNA from 1 species